rnacentral:rRNA from 1 species
UACGUAGGGUGCGAGCGUUAAUCGGAAUUACUGGGCGUAAAGUGUGCGCAGGCGGCCGAGCAAGUCGAGUGUGAAAGCCCCGGGCUUAACUUGGGAAUUGCGCUCGAAACUACUUGGCUGGAGUGUGGCAGAGGAAGGUGGAAUUCCAGGUGUAGCGGUGAAAUGCGUAGAGAUCUGGAGGAACACCGAUGGCGAAGGCAGCCUUCUGGGCCAACACUGACGCUGAGACGCGAAAGCGUGGGGAGCGAACAGG